rnacentral:rRNA from 1 species
UACGUAGGGGGCAAGCGUUGUCCGGAAUCAUUGGGCGUAAAGAGCGUGUAGGCGGCCAGAAAAGUCCGCUGUGAAAACUCGAGGCUCAACUUCGAGCUGUCGGUGGAAACUUUCUGGCUAGAGUCCGGAAGAGGAGAAUGGAAUUCCUGGUGUAGCGGUGAAAUGCGCAGAUAUCAGGAGGAACACCAAUAGCGAAGGCAGCUCGCUGGGACGGUAUUGACGCUAAGGCGCGAAAGCGUGGGGAGCAAACAGG